AUGUGACCUCAAAUCAGGUAGGACUACCCGCUGAACUUAAGCAUAUCAAUAAGCGGAGGAAAAGAAACUAACAAGGAUUCCCCUAGUAACUGCGAGUGAAGCGGGAAAAGCUCAAAUUUAAAAUCUGAUGGUCUCUUGGCUGUCCGAGUUGUAAUCUAGAGAAGUGUUAUCCGCGCUGGA
rnacentral:rRNA from 1 species